rnacentral:rRNA from 1 species
AGUGAACGCUGGCGGUAGGCCUAACACAUGCAAGUCGAACGGCAGCACAGUAAGAGCUUGCUCUUACGGGUGGCGAGUGGCGGACGGGUGAGGAAUACAUCGGAAUCUACUUUUUCGUGGGGGAUAACGUAGGGAAACUUACGCUAAUACCGCAUACGACCUACGGGUGAAAGCAGGGGAUCUUCGGACCUUGCGCGAUUGAAUGAGCCGAUGUCGGAUUAGCUAGUUGGCGGGGUAAAGGCCCACCAAGGCGACGAUCCGUAGCUGGUCUGAGAGGAUGAUCGGCCACACUGGAACUGAGACACGGUCCAGCCUCCUACGGGAGGCAGCAGUGGGGAAUAUUGGAAAAUGGGCGAAAGCCUGACCGAGCAACCCCGCGUGAGUGAAGAAGGCCUUCGGGUUGUAAAGCUCUUUUGUUGGGAAAGAAAAGAUGUGUAAGUAACCCCGCCUUUCUUGACGGUACCUAAAGAGAAAGCCCCGGCUAACUUCGUG